rnacentral:rRNA from 1 species
AUUGAACGCUGGCGGCAUGCUUUACACAUGCAAGUCGAACGGUAACAGGCCUUCGGGUGCUGUCGAGUGGCGAACGGGUGAGUAAUGCAUCGGAACGUACCCAGAGGUGGGGGAUAACGCAGCGAAAGCUGUGCUAAUACCGCAUGUGAUCUGAGGAUGAAAGCGGGGGACCGAGCAGCAAUGUUUGGCCUCGCGCCUUUGGAGCGGCCGAUGUCGGAUUAGCUAGUUGGUGGGGUAAAGGCCUACCAAGGCGACGAUCCGUAGCUGGUCUGAGAGGACGACCAGCCACACUGGGACUGAGACACGGCCCAGACUCCUACGGGAGGCAGCAGUGGGGAAUUUUGGACAAUGGGCGCAAGCCUGAUCCAGCAAUGCCGCGUGCGGGAAGAAGGCCUUCGGGUUGUAAAACGCUUUUGGCAGGAACGAAACGGUGUCCGCUAAUACCGGGCGCUAAUGACGGUACCUGCAGAAUAAGCACCGGCUAACUACGUG